rnacentral:rRNA from 1 species
UACGAAGGGGGCUAGCGUUGCUCGGAAUUACUGGGCGUAAAGGGCGCGUAGGCGGAUUGUACAGUCAGGCGUGAAAUUCCCGGGCUCAACCUGGGGGCUGCGCUUGAGACGUGCGAUCUUGAGUGGGGAAGAGGGUCGUGGAAUUCCCAGUGUAGAGGUGAAAUUCGUAGAUAUUGGGAAGAACACCGGUGGCGAAGGCGGCGACCUGGUCCGAUACUGACGCUGAGGCGCGAAAGCGUGGGGAGCAAACAGG